rnacentral:rRNA from 1 species
UACGGAGGGUGCAAGCGUUAUCCGGAUUCACUGGGCUUAAAGGGUGCGUAGGCGGGCCGGUAAGUCAGUGGUGAAAUCUCCAAGCUUAACUUGGAAACUGCCGUUGAUACUAUCUGUCUUGAAUAUUGUGGAGGUGAGCGGAAUAUGUCAUGUAGCGGUGAAAUGCGUAGAUAUGACAUAGAACACCAAUUGCGAAGGCAGCUCGCUGGGCAUAUACUGACGCUGAGGCACGAAAGCGUGGGGAGCAAACAGG